UGGGAUUACAAGCGUGAGACACCGUGCCUGUCCCUGUACACAUUCUUUAACUACCACUUAUAAAUGAGAACAGGCAGUAUUUGUCUUUCUGUGUCUGAGUUGUUUCACUUAAGAUCAUGGCCUCCCAUUCCAUCCAUAUUGUUGCAAAAGACACAAUUUCAUUAUUUUUAAUGUCUGAAUAGUAUUCCACUGUGUGAAUAUACCACAUUUUCAUUAUUCAAUCUUCUGUUGAUGGACACUUAGGCUAAUUUUGUAUGUUUGCUAUUGUGAAUAGUCUGCAAUAAACACAUGAGUGCAGGGAACUUUUUGAUGUAAUGAUUUCCACUCCUUUGGGUAGACACCCUGUAGUAGGAAUGGCUUUUCAGCAUUAUAUGGAUGGUAUGUUAAUGGUAGUAUUAACUAACUGGAAACUGAAGAGGCAAAAUUAUGCUUAUGGGUGAAUACAUACUGAACCUAUAAUGAGUAACAAUGACAAAUUCAGAGUUAUGGUUCUGACCCAUGGUGUAUUUUAUCUAACAUUACUUCUGACAGCAAAUAUGUAGCAUUUGCUGAACACGAGCCAAUUCUCCAAGAAAAACUGGUGUUCAAUAAUUCAAUGCUGACACCACUUAACAUUUCCACAGACCCCACAAAUUGAGGGCUCAGUUCCACAACAGGGACCCUACUGCAGAUGCCAAAUGCAAGCCCUAGGGACCACCCUUUUAACCAAAUGUGUAUAAAACCAACAACUCUACUAUCAGAUUUAAUAAUUUGCUACAACAAGUUGAAGAACUCAGUUAAACAAGUUGCUUAAGGUUAUCAGUUUGUUAUAAAGUAUAUGUCAAGAAUACCUAAAUGGAAGACAUAUGUCAGCCCUCCAAGACAUUUUAAUUUGUGCAAUUUCACUCUAAUUAAACCAACUCACUGAAUACAAAACCAAGCAGCUGAUAAAGU
rnacentral:lncRNA from 1 species